rnacentral:lncRNA from 1 species
GCUUGAAAUGCAGGAUACCGAGGUUUGAUCCUUGGGUUGGGAAGAUCCCCUGGAGAAGGGAACGGCAACCCAUUCCAGUAUUCUUGUCUGGAGAAAUUCAUGGCUAGAGAAGCCUUGUGGGCUACAGUUCAGUUCAUGGGGUAGCAAAGAGUAGGAUAUGACUGAGUGACUAACACUUUUCAGUCCUAUAUAACCCCUCCUCUGAAACUUCACCCUAGAGUAGAUUCUGGAAACCUUCAUCUCAUGCAGAUACUUCCAAGUUUCUGAGUGACUCCAUUUCUGGUCCCUAGGUUCUCUCUUCCCUGAGUCCUCAUGCCACUUCUUCAUCAGAUGAUCUUUGACAUUCCAUUGAGAUUCAUCUAAAUGUUAUUAUUUUUUUCAGGGAAGCUUCUGAUGAUUCCCAAGACCAGGAUAAAUCCUCUGUUGUGGAACUGACUACACUAGAAUUAAUCUCUUUUAUCUGCCUUUGCCUUCAGUUCAUAAUCUCCUAAAAGGUAGGUGGAGCAAUUUAAACUGUUCAAGAGAAAUCCAACUGGCCUCCAUGAGUACUUGUGAAAGAACUUGGAACUGCCACUGGAGGUCAGCGAGCAUCAUGUGGAAGGUGUUGGAAGAAGGGAGAAGACGCCUGUUGCCAGUCCUCAAAGGUAGGGCCUAGAGGCUGAGCCAGGGCACCCGCUCCAUUUGCCUUUGUGCCUGCUGUUUGGCUUGGCAAAGGCAGGCUCCUUUGCAGGAGGGAAACGGUUUCUACAUUGGUCCACAGAUGAAAAGGAUAUGGACUUAAAAGAAAGGAGGAUUGAGUUGUUCUAGCUAAAUAGGUUUGGUUCAUUUCCCUAAGACCUCCCAAAACACAUUGAUAUUUUCAUAAGAAUGAAAUGAAGGCAGUGAUGACAAAGAGGACUAAAAUUAUAACUGCUGUCUGAAUUGCCAGUUAGUAUAAUAUUUACUUAUUAAUGCUCCUGAAAUUGUGCUGUGAAGCUGGAAAAUUCCAAUAAGUCAUCUAAUCUAUCUUCCUGGUGGUACAGGAUCACCAACCUACUAUUUAUGAAAGUUUAGGUAACAGAUUGAAAAUUUUCUAAGUUUAUGAAGGAAAAAUAAUUUUGGGUAAUCCAAAAGGAGACACUUGGAGGAAAGCAUCACCACCGGGCAGCCUUGUCCUAUAAUUAAAUGUUUUUGUCAAGGAGCUCAUAGUCUAAAGUAAUAGUCAAGGAACAUACACUUAUCUUUUGGUGUUUGAUCAUUCAUAUGUCAAAGUGUUAUCAAAUGUGUUUGUG